GAUGAACGCUGGCGGCGUGCCUAAUACAUGCAAGUCGAGCGAACGGACGAGAAGCUUGCUUCUCUGAUGUUAGCGGCGGACGGGUGAGUAACACGUGGAUAACCUACCUAUAAGACUGGGAUAACUUCGGGAAACCGGAGCUAAUACCGGAUGAUAUUUUGAACCGCAUGGUUCAAAAGUGAAAGACGGUCUUGCUGUCACUUAUAGAUGGAUCCGCGCUGCAUUAGCUAGUUGGUAAGGUAACGGCUUACCAAGGCAACGAUGCAUAGCCGACCUGAGAGGGUGAUCGGCCACACUGGAACUGAGACACGGUCCAGACUCCUACGGGAGGCAGCAGUAGGGAAGCUUCCGCAAUGGGCGAAAGCCUGACGGAGCAACGCCGCGUGAGUGAUGAAGGUCUUCGGAUCGUAAAACUCUGUUAUUAGGGAAGAACAUAUGUGUAAGUAACUGUGCACAUCUUGACGGUACCUAAUCAGAAAGCCACGGCUAACUACGU
rnacentral:rRNA from 1 species